UUUAUCUUAAAUUUUAUUUUUUGUAAAUUUUUGAUGAAAUUAUUUUUAAUUUUCUUAGUAUUAUUUAGAAAAGAGAUUAAUUUAUAAUAAACUGUGAAGGCUAAUUUUUAUAUUUUUAAUAAAGUUUAAUUAGUACCUUUUGUAUCAGGGUGAAUUCAAUAUGUUAAUAAUUUUAUAUUCCCGAAUUUUAAAGGUCAAUAAAUAUAUUAAUUUAUUUGUUUCAGUACGUUUUUAAAUAUAUUUAUAGUAAUUAAAUGUUAUUCGUUUUAAGUGUAUCUGGUUGUUAGGGAAAUUAAUUUAAUUAAUCGUUAUUUUAUAUAAUUUUAUUUUAAAUUUUUAUAAUGAAAAAUUAUUAGGGAUAAUCUUAAUAGUUUGUAUUACAAUAGAUUUGUCUUUAAAUAUUUAUUAUCUUUAGAAUUUUGUAUUGAGUUUGUAAUAAAUUUGUAUUUUACUAUAUUAUUUUUUUAUAUUUAUUUUUCUACUUAACUAAUUAAAUUAAUUUUAAUUUUAUUUAAAUAAUUAUUCAAUUAGUAUAAUUAUUAUUUUUAAUUAAAUGAACUUGACAAAUUUUAUUCCCAACUGUUUAACAAAAACAUUUCUUUUUGGUUUAUAUAAAAGGUAUAUUCUGCCCUAUGAUUUAUAUUAAAUGGCUGCAGUAUUUUGACUGUGCAAAGGUAGCAUAGUAAUUAGUUUCUUAAUUAGAAGCUGGUAUGAAUGAAUUAAUGAGAAAUAUAUUUUAUUAAUUUUAUUAUUAAAAUUUAAAAUUUAAGUUAAAAUGCUUAAUGAAUUUCUAGGGACGAUAAGACCCUAUAGAACUUUAUAUUAUAAUUUUUAAUUGUUUUUGUUUAAAAUAUUCAUUUAAUUUUUGUAAUAAUUUGCUGGGGUGGUGAAUAAAUUUUAACUUUAUUAUUUUAUAUCAGAAAUAUCUGUUAGUUUUGAUCCUACUGGACUUAAGAUUAAGUUACCUUAGGGAUAACAGCGUAAUUUUAAUGGCGAGUCCAUAUCUAUAUUAAUUUUGCGACCUCGAUGUUGAAUUAAGGUAAGACUAAGGAGCAGAAUUCUUAGUUCUAAGUCUGUUCGACUUUUAAAUCCUUACAUGAUUUGAGUUCAAACCGGCGUGAGCCAGGUUGGUUUCUAUCUUAGAAUUAAUAAUACUAUUUAGUACGAAAGGACCAUUAGUGUAUACUUAGGUAUUUUAUUUUUCUAACA
rnacentral:rRNA from 1 species